UUUAUAAAGGUCAGAUUUUUCCCUUACUUAUUGGGAGUUUAGAAUAAGAACAAAGACUAUUUGUGUUGAUACUAACAGUGAGAUUAGUUAAAAACAAAAUUCUCAGACCUCAAUUGAAUGAGAAUCUCGUGGUGACAAAGCCACCUCGCUCAAAGCUCCUUUGAUCCUGCUGGAGUCCAAAACCUAGAAAGAGAGAUAUAAGAGAGCGAUUCAUUCUACUUUUUAAACCAUCUUCCUGCUAAACUCUUUCAACCUCUCCCUUUCUUCCAAGGCAACUCCUAAAACUGAACAGAUACCAUCCAUGGCAGCCACCGCCAAUCUCUCUCCUUUGUCUUCUUCAUCAACUAUCUCAAAACCCAUCUUCAAGAACCCUUCUUUUGCUCUGAACCCAUCUCAAAAAACUCCCUUUUCUCUCUUUCCAAAAAUCCUUCCACAACCGUCUUCUUUCCCUUGCAAACCUGUUUUUCAUACCCAGAAACCCCAGUUUAGCAUCUCUUCUAAAAACCCCAUCUCUGACUUCUUUUCAACAAACAAAAGUGACCCAGAAGACUAUUUUGUCUCUUCUUUUACUGAUGAUGACGAUAAGCCCCGUGAAGAGUGUGGUGUUGUGGGUAUCUUUGGUGACCCUGAAGCCUCACGUCUCUGCUACUUGGCCCUCCACGCGCUUCAGCAUCGUGGACAAGAAGGUGCAGGUAUUGUAGCAGUGAAUAACAAUGUUCUUCAAUCAGUUACCGGGGUCGGUUUAGUAUCUGAAGUCUUUAAUGAGUCUAAGCUUGAUCAAUUGCCUGGUGAAAUGGCUAUUGGACAUGUUAGAUAUUCAACUGCUGGUUCCUCUAUGUUAAAAAAUGUGCAGCCUUUUGUUGCUGGUUACAGGUUUGGGUCUGUUGGGGUUGCACACAACGGAAACUUGGUAAACUAUAGAGCUUUGAGAGCUAUGCUUGAAGAUAAUGGUUCAAUUUUUAAUACUAGUUCUGAUACUGAGGUUGUGCUUCAUUUGAUUGCUAUUUCAAAGGCUAGGCCCUUCUUUUUGAGGAUUGUUGAUGCUUGUGAGAAGCUUGAAGGGGCUUAUUCAAUGGUGUUUGUGACUGAGGAUAAGCUUGUUGCGGUGCGUGACCCCUUUGGAUUCAGGCCUUUGGUAAUGGGAAGGAGGAGUAAUGGUGCUGUUGUGUUUGCAUCUGAGACUUGUGCUCUUGAUUUGAUCGAGGCCACAUAUGAGAGAGAGGUGUAUCCUGGUGAAGUGUUGGUGGUGGAUAAAAAAGAUGGAGUUCAAUCACUUUGCUUGAUGCGCCACCCUGAACCAAAACAAUGUAUUUUUGAGCAUAUCUAUUUUGCUCUGCCUAAUUCUGUUGUUUUUGGAAGGUCUGUUUAUGAGUCACGACAUGUUUUUGGGGAAAUACUUGCCACUGAGGCUCCUGUCGACUGUGAUGUCGUGAUUGCAGUGCCAGAUUCAGGGGUGGUGGCUGCUCUUGGUUAUGCAUCCAAAGCAGGGGUGCCAUUUCAGCAAGGGCUGAUCAGGUCUCACUAUGUUGGAAGAACUUUUAUCGAGCCUUCGCAGAAGAUUAGGGACUUUGGCGUGAAGCUUAAGCUCUCACCAGUUCGUGGUGUAUUGGAAGGUAAGAGGGUCGUGGUAGUGGAUGACUCAAUUGUGAGAGGAACCACAUCUUCAAAAAUCGUUAGGUUGAUCAAGGAGGCAGGGGCUAAGGAGGUUCACAUGAGGAUUGCCAGCCCACCUAUCAUUGGGUCUUGCUAUUAUGGAGUGGACACACCAAGCUCUGAGGAGUUGAUAUCUAAUAGAAUGAGUGUGGAGGAGAUUAGAGAGUUCAUUGGAUGUGAUUCACUUGCUUUUCUGCCAUUUGAGAGCCUGAAAAAGAUGUUGGCUAGUGAUUCUCCAAAUUUUUGUUAUGCUUGCUUCUCUGGGAAGUACCCAGUUAUGCCAAGGGAGGUUAAAGUGAAACGGGUUGGUGAUUUCUUGGAUGAUGGGUUGAAUGGACCUAUUGAUUCCAUUGAUGGAGGUUGGGUUAAAGGUCCACCGAAUUUCAAUGUAGAGAAAGAAAUUGAUCCCCUGUAUCAACAGAGCAAGAUUUAGCUGUUUCAAUCAUGUUUGUGGUGAGUGAUAGAUAUCUUGGGUAAUUGAUCACAGUAUUUAUUUCUUCCUUGAACAAGCUAGGGUUCUACAAUCUAAAGAUUAUACAAUUUUGUCCCAUCGUUCACUUCUGCAAACUAAUCUCAUUAAUAUAUGGGUUUGUUUUCUUUGCUAAUAGACAAUGGGCAAUUAGAUGAACUUUUGAUUGAUGCAAUAUUAUACAGGGAUUUUGUUGUAUUGGAACUCUCUUAGUGACAACUUCUUUCCUUUUAGUUUUUGGACAAAAAUCAAGGAGCCUGCUUCUUGCCAAAGAUUUUUAAUGGUGGUUGUAUCAAUUAUAUUAUUUUAUUCUUCAAGAAUCCUGAACCACAAAUAGUGCUCUUGUUUAUGAGAGGAAUUGAGGAGAAUAAAUAAAUAACUGAUGCUUUUUCUUAAAUUAUAUCAACGGACUGAGCUUUUGCAGUUUUCAGUAACCCGUUAUGGCGUUGGUCUGUAGAAUGAGUGGACCGCUGUUUGCAUUUACCUUUAUAAGAAUGUUUGUGUUUGUUUAUGCCUUUUACUAGUCAUGGUUCAUUCUAUUUUCUGGGAUAGCCUUCUGUCAAUCGUGUAAUUUUAUUCCGGAAGAGGAAGGCAUGAAUAUCCCACCCUUCUAUUAAUGGUAUGGCCGUAUGGUGCAAGGACCCAUUGCAAGGUUUCUGCUGUAUUAAUGACUCAGAUUUUGUAGUGUCACGGUUAGAUGGGAUGGAUGAUGGCUGCAUCAAUGCUUGUAGUAUGUUAAUUUGGGCAAGUAGUAAUGGAAUUUCGUCUCAUUUUCAACUAUUUUUGUGUUAAAAUAGCUUGCUUUCCAAACAAAUGGCGACUAUAAAAUCUGCCCCAGGGGAGAUCUUUCUGAUUUUAGAUGAAGUGAAUUUAAUUGGUUGGUUAAUGAUUUUGCUGGUUUAGGCAAGCUUUGUGUUUUUGUUUGGCAUAAAGAACAGAAAAUCCCUUGUACCAUUCAAGAUCUAGGCCCACCAACAACCUUAAUGUCUCCUCCAAUCAGUCUGACUAGAACAGCUGGAAAAGACAACAGUUUAGUUACAUCAAAGCAAGCUC